CAGGCCUAACACAUGCAAGUCGAGGGGUAGAAGUCUUCGGACUUUGAGACCGGCGCACGGGUGCGUAACGCGUAUGCAAUCUGCCUUGUACAAAGGGAUAGCCCAGAGAAAUUUGGAUUAAUACCUUAUAGUAUAUCGCUGUGGCAUCACAAUGAUAUUAAAGAUUUAUCGGUACAAGAUGAGCAUGCGUCCCAUUAGCUAGUUGGUAUGGUAACGGCAUACCAAGGCAAUGAUGGGUAGGGGUCCUGAGAGGGAGAUCCCCCACACUGGUACUGAGACACGGACCAGACUCCUACGGGAGGCAGCAGUGAGGAAUAUUGGUCAAUGGGCGCAAGCCUGAACCAGCCAUGCCGCGUGCAGGAUGAAGCAUCUAUGGUGUGUAAACUGCUUUUGUACGGGA
rnacentral:rRNA from 1 species